rnacentral:tRNA from 1 species
GGAGAGACGUUGGAGCGGCUGAACGGGCCAGUCUCGAAAACUGGAGUCGGGCAACGCUACCGGGGUGUAAAUCCCCCGUCUCUCCA